GCGGCCUCGGAUAUUAACAAUAGAUACAAAUCACCACGGUUCGCGUUUUGUAUAAAAUAGAUAGGUACCUACACCGAAUACGUGCAUUUUUAUAAUAUAGUGAUACUCUACGAUAUACCAUUGACGGAUAGACGAGAAACGAAAUUGAUAUCCAAGGACGAAGAUCUGACGGACGUAUGUAUUUAUACGAGUUCCUAUGAUGAAUUAUUAUUUAGACUGCAAACUGAACAUGCCGAAGAAUUAUUUUUCAUCGUGACCAUCGUGUGCAAAAACGUUACAGAUAACAAAGAACAGAAAACCGUUUAAAUCAUAGUACUGAAUUUCAACUUACUACCGUUGAAUUGUAAAAAUUAUAAAAAAUGUAAGAACAUUUUUUUUUCGAAAACAAAGUAGAAUGACGAUUGAAAAUAGCGAUAGACAAGGCCAUGAGGAUUGGUAAUAAAGGCAUAACACUUUAUCUUUGACGGAUCGAGUUACUAUCAUGAAGAUUUAAUAUAUUGUCAUAAAAUAAAUAUGUCACGCAUAAGACGAGAGAAAGAGUAAUUUCAUGAUGGAAAUUGUGUAGUUGAGAGUCUGAAAAUACAAAAUAUACAAUACGAAACGUAUUUGACGAAUGUACAACAAACAUAAAAUGGAAUUUGAAAAACAUAGUUAAUUAAAGAAAUAUUAACGAACCUGUAGUAUAAUAAUGGAUGUAAUAAAGCCAGUACUCU